AGGAGUUACGAAAGGAGAGGAAGGCCUAGGAGUAUUACCGUCUUGCAUGAAAAGCCGACUAUAGCAUCCAAAAUUUGAUACAUCUUUCUUUUCGAUAUAUAAUUUAAAAAAUCGAUAUUUUAAAUAUUUCAAUGAAAAUGUCAGCAUUUCUUGGACAUCUUCAUCGUCAUCAAUUGAAAUUAAGAUAUACUUGCUCUGCAUUAAUUGUCCCG
rnacentral:lncRNA from 1 species